AGUGAACGCUGGCGGUAGGCCUAACACAUGCAAGUCGAACGGCAGCACAGUAAGAGCUUGCUCUUACGGGUGGCGAGUGGCGGACGGGUGAGGAAUACAUCGGAAUCUACUUUUUCGUGGGGGAUAACGUAGGGAAACUUACGCUAAUACCGCAUACGACCUACGGGUGAAAGCAGGGGAUCUUCGGACCUUGCGCGAUUGAAUGAGCCGAUGUCGGAUUAGCUAGUUGGCGGGGUAAAGGCCCACCAAGGCGACGAUCCGUAGCUGGUCUGAGAGGAUGAUCGGCCACACUGGAACUGAGACACGGUCCAGACUCCUACGGGAGGCAGCAGUGGGGAAUAUUGGACAAUGGGCGCAAGCCUGAUCCAGCCAUACCGCGUGAGUGAAGAAGGCCUUCGGGUUGUAAAGCCCUGUUGUUGGGAAAGAAAAGCAGCAGGUGAAUACCCCGCUGUUCUGACGGUACCCAAAGAAUAAGCACCGGCUAACUUCGUG
rnacentral:rRNA from 1 species